rnacentral:rRNA from 1 species
AGGAUUCAGCUUUAAGUGAAACUGCGAACGGCUCAUUAGAGCAGAUGUGAUUUAUUCGGAAAAUCCUAUUGGAUAACUGCGGUAAUUCUGGAGCUAAUACAUGCGUAUAAACCCUGACUUUCGAAAGGGUGCAAUUAUUAGAGCAAAUCAAUCAUUUUCGGAUGUAGUUUGCUGACUCUGAAUAACGCAGCAUAUCGGCGGCUUGUUCGCCGAUAAUCCGAAAAAGUGUCUGCCCUAUCAACCUGAUGGUAGUCUAUUAGUCUACCAUGGUUAUUACGGGUAACGGAGAAUAAGGGUUCGACUCCGGAGAGGGAGCCUUAGAAACGGCUACCACAUCCAAGGAAGGCAGCAGGCGCGAAACUUAUCCAAUCUUGAAUAGAUGAGAUAGUGACUAAAAAUAAAAAGACCAUUCCUAUGGAACGGUUAUUUCAAUGAGUUGAUCAUAAACCUUUUUUCGAGUAUCCAGUGGAGGGCAAGUCUGGUGCCAGCAGCCGCGGUAAUUCCAGCUCCACUAGUGUAAAUCGUCAUUGCUGCGGUUAAAAAGCUCGUAGUUGGAUCUGAGUUGCAUGCAAUGAUUCGCCUUUGGCGUUAAUCAUUGUUGUGACUAUUUGCUGGUUUUCUAUUGAAAUUUCGAUUUCUUUAGUGGCUAGCGAGUUUACUUUGAAUAAAUUAAAGUGCUCAGAACAAGCGUUUGCUUGAAUGGUCGAUCAUGGAAUAAUAAAAGAGGACUUCGGUUCUAUUUAUUGGUUCAGGAGCUGAAGUAAUGAUUAAGAGGGACAAUUCGGGGGCAUUCGUAUCCCUGCGCGAGAGGUGAAAUUCGUGGACAGCAGGGGGACACCCUAAAG